CAAUGCCGCACAAGAUGUUCCUUAAACACCAUCGUUAUUCGAUAGAUACACACACAACACUUACACUAAAUUCACAUGCUUAAUUGCUUACAAACCCAAUGAAAAAGGAAAACCGGUGGCGCGUAACCAAUUACCACCACCGAUGAAGGUUCCCGCAGUAUACCCUUGAGCCUCUGUAGAACUUGUAAUCACCUUAUAUCCUUUCCAUUUUACUCUACCGGAAGUUCCAGCUCCGGCACCAGUGUUCUGGUACUCACGGUAGGUCAACGUGUCGAGCGCAAAGUUCCCAUCCCACUCAUACCAUCCGGCUGGUUGAAUCACAUUGGUAAUACUCGACUGCAUCACCACUGUCCUUGAAUACUGUUUCCAUGGUCGUCCGAGAUACGUCGGAAAACUUCCAAUCACCGGUUGCAGAUCGGAAGUAGCACCAAUCCUACAUUUUUGAAUAACAAUCCCUGUGUUUUGGUUGGCGUCGGUGCGUCCUUGUGCUGUUAGCAUGUUCUUUUGACCUGAUCCAGGGCGGCGAGCAUGGAUGUCGCAGUCUUGGAACACCACCGCAGCGUUUCCGAAGAUGAAAUCCACCGUGCCGGCGAUCAGGCAGUUGAUGUAGAAUUGACGGUUUUUGUGGACGUAAAGUGUGUCUUGGUAAGCUAACAUGUCACAUUGAUAGAAAGCGGAUAAAUCUGAGCCAACACGAAGUGCCACUGCUUGGUGGUUUGCAGCUCCGGCGGUGUUUUGAAAUGUUACGUCUUUUGCCA
rnacentral:lncRNA from 1 species